rnacentral:rRNA from 1 species
AGAGUUUGAUCCUGGCUCAGGACGAACGCUGGCGGCAUGCCUAAUACAUGCAAGUCGAACGCUGAAGCACUCUGCUUGCAGAGUGCGGAUGAGUGGCGAACGGGUGAGUAACACGUGGGAAAUCUGCCUAUAAGUGGGGGAUAACAUUCGGAAACGGAUGCUAAUACCGCAUACAUUCUUGAACCGCAUGGUUCUUGAAAGAAAGACGGCUUUGCUGUCGCUUAUAGAUGAUCCCGCGGCGUAUUAGUUAGUUGGUGGGGUAAAGGCCUACCAAGACAAUGAUACGUAGCCGACCUGAGAGGGUGAUCGGCCACACUGGGACUGAGACACGGCCCAGACUCCUACGGGAGGCAGCAGUAGGGAAUCUUCCACAAUGGGCGAAAGCCUGAUGGAGCAAUGCCGCGUGAAUGAAGAAGGUCUUCGGAUCGUAAAGUUCUGUUAUUAGAGAAGAACAAGUCAAGGAGUAACUGUCUUGACUUUGACGGUACCUAACCAGAAAGUCACGGCUAACUACGUGCCAGCAGCCGCGGUAAUACGUAGGUGGCAAGCGUUAUCCGGAUUUACUGGGUGUAAAGGGAGCGUAGACGGUACGGCAAGUCUGAAGUGAAAUCCCGGGGCUCAACCCUGGAACUGCUUUGGAAACUGCCGGACUAGAGUGCAGGAGAGGUAAGUGGAAUUCCUAGUGUAGCGGUGGAAUGCGUAGAUAUUAGGAGGAACACCAGUGGCGAAGGCGGCUUACUGGACUGUAACUGACGUUGAGGCUCGAAAGCGUGGGUAGCGAACAGGAAUUAGAUACCCUGGUAGUCCACGCCGUAAACGAUGAUUAAUAGGUGUCGGGGAGUCAUGACUCUUCGGUGCCGUCGCAAACGCAAUAAGUAAUCCACCUGGGGAGUACGUUCGCAAGAAUGAAACUCAAAGGAAUUGACGGGGAGCCGCACCAGCAGCGGAGCAUGUGGUUUAAUUUGAAGCAACGCGAAGAACCUUACCAGGGCUUGACAUGCCUCUGACCGCUCUAGAGAUAGAGUUUUCCCUUCGGGGACAGAGGACACAGGUGGUGCAUGGUCGUCGUCAGCUCGUGUCGUGAGGUGUUGGGUUAAGUCCCGUAACGAGCGCAACCCUUAUUUUUAGUUGCUAACAGUUAGGCUGAGCACUCUAGAGAGACUGCCGAUGAGAUAUCGGAGGAAGGUGGGGAGGACGUCAAAUCAUCAUGCCCCUUAUAUCCUGGGCUACACACGUACUACAAUGGGCGUUACAACGGGCAGCCACACCGCGAGGUGGAGCGAAUCCCAAAGGCGUCCUCAGUUCGGAUUGCAGGCUGCAACUCGCCUGCAUGAAGCCGGAAUUGCUAGUAAUGGCAGGUCAGCAUACUGCCGCGAAAAAGUUCCCGGGCCUUGCACUCUCCGCCCGUC